AGACUUGGCAAUUGCCAGGUAUCAUCUUUUCGAUUUACCCAGGUCCACCGCUGAGGCCACAAGGGAGAUUUCUUCCAGAGAGAGGAGAGAGUUAUUAAGUCUAAAGUCCAUUAUUUGCUUUUGUCCUUCAGGAAAAGAUGGUCCUGACUCUGGGUGGAUCUAACAAGGAUCCUGGAACUCCAGUUCUGCUUUUUGGAUUUACCGGGAACUUCCCAGUCCAGACGAUUGGAAUUACAGCAAUAUACUUUGACUGGUAUGAUCUUC